ACGAGUUUCGUUUCCUCCGAGUUGACUGCCCCGCCUAGCGCCCACAACCCAGCGCGUCGGACGGGAGGACGCAUGCGUGACUGGUGGAUGGCGGGGGCAGGAUGGCCCGGCACGCGCAGGCGCGCGGCCGCACCGCCCGGUCACGCGACGGGGUGGCCGACGCCUACGCUACCGGCGGCCUUAAAGGCGGCGGCGGGUCCCGGCCUCCCAGUCGGCCUGUCAGCCGGCUUGGAAGUACGGCCGGAGGCUCGCGCGGCGACGGCGGCCAUGGCGGCUGAGGAGGUGGAGGUGGACUCUGCGGACGCGAGUGAGAAGAUAGGAUUUAAGAAGUCAUUUCCCAGGAAAGAAGGUCUUUAUUUGCCCAAGUCAGGAUGGCUAACUGGUUGGCUUCCCACAUGGUGCCCUACGUCAACAUCACACCUUAAAGAAGCUGAAGAGAAAAUUUUAAAAUGUGUCCCCUGCACAUACAAAAAAGGACCUGUUCGUAUAUCUAAUGGAAAUAAAAUAUGGACACUGACGCUUUCUCAUAAUAUUUCAAAUAAGACUCCACUUGUCCUCCUCCAUGGUUUUGGAGGAGGUCUUGGACUCUGGGCACUGAAUUUUGGAGAUCUUUGCACCAAUAGACCUGUCUAUGCUUUUGACCUGCUGGGCUUUGGACGAAGUAGCAGACCCAGAUUUGACAAUGAUGCAGAAGAAGUAGAGAAUCAGUUUGUGGAAUCCAUUGAAGAGUGGAGACGUGCUUUAGGAUUGGACAAAAUGAUUUUGCUUGGGCACAACCUGGGUGGGUUCCUGGCUGCUGCUUACUCACUGAAGUACUCAUCAAGCAGGGUUAGUCAUCUCAUUUUAGUGGAGCCUUGGGGUUUUCCUGAGCGACCAGACCUUGCUGAUGAAGAGAGACCAAUUCCAAUUUGGAUCAGAGCCUUGGGAGCGGCAUUGACUCCCUUUAACCCUUUAGCCAGCCUCAGGAUUGCAGGACCCUUUGGUUUAAGUCUAGUACAGCGUUUAAGGCCUGAUUUCAAACGGAAGUAUUCUUCAAUGUUUGCAGAUGAUACUGUGACAGAAUACAUUUACCACUGUAACGUCCAGACUCCGAGGUGCCUGUGGAUAGUUGAGGGAAGUCUUCGUCUUGGGCAUCUCGUUAAGGUGGUCAGAGUUGAGAGAGAAAGAAGAAUUUCAAAUAAAGCAGCAUUCCCAAAUGAGACUGAAUGUUCUACAAAAAAGGAGUUCUGGGUUAAACAAGAAUGGUUUUCUGUACCGUGGAUCUUCUUAGAACCGUUUUUUAAGCCAAAGCACUUCUUCAAGUCUGUGUGUCAGCAUGAGAGACACUGCUGCAGUGGUGAGGAUGGUGAGACUGCGUUCAGAAAUAUGACUGUUCCUUAUGGAUGGGCAAAAAGACCAAUGCUGCAGCGAAUUGGUAAAAUGCACCCUGACAUUCCAGUUUCGGUGAUCUAUGGUGCCCGAUCCUGCAUAGAUGGCAAUUCUGGCACCAGCAUCCAGUCAUUACGACCACAUUCAUAUGUGAAGACGAUAGCCAUUCUCGGAGCAGGGCAUUAUGUGUAUGCAGAUCAACCAGAAGACUUUAACCAGAAAGUGAAGGAGAUCUGUGACACUGUGGACUGAACACACUGCAGAUGAUGUGGGAAAUGCACAUGGCUAAUACAGUUCCUCAGCAAUAAUUUGCAGUCUGCGAUGCAGACAUGCAGCAAAAGGAACAGAUUUCCUCACUGAGGGGUCAUUAAGACUGUUACCUUCCAGUAAGCCAAAUCAUGUAUUUUCAUCUAACUCUUGUACACGGGUGCUAAAACUGGAUUACAUUUUAACCACUAAAAUAUAAAAAUCGGUGGUGCUAUUAUAUCUCAUGGCACCAGAAGUCAGCUAGUACUUGGGGGGUUUUUUGUUUUGUUUUGUUUUGUUUUAAGAGUUUUGUGUUGAUUAAGUAACUUACAUACUUGAAUUUAUAUUACAGAAAUUCUGUAAGGUUGAUUGAACUAUUUGACAGUAACUACCAUCAAGUGUAGCACUUUCUUGCUGUUUUUAAUACAAGGAAAGCGUCUCUGAAACUGUGAAAAAGCUCCAUGUGGUAACUGGCUACUACUGAGAAGACCCUCCGCAAAAGAAAGUUGAAUAGGAUGGUCACCAGCAAGUCAUCUUUGCCUUAUGUUUUGCUUAAUGUUGCUUGUCUAGGAGAAAGGUGGUUAUGUAAAUAAAAACAGUGAACCUAG